rnacentral:rRNA from 1 species
UACGUAGGGUGCGAGCGUUAAUCGGAAUUACUGGGCGUAAAGCGUGCGCAGGCGGUCUGUUAAGACCGAUGUGAAAUCCCCGGGCUAACCUGGGAACUGCAUUGGUGACUGGCAGGCUUGAGUGUGGCAGAGGGAGGUAGAAUUCCACGUGUAGCAGUGAAAUGCGUAGAGAUGUGGAGGAACACCGAUGGCGAAGGCAGCCCCCUGGGCCAACACUGACGCUCAGGCACGAAAGCGGUGGGAGCAAACAGG